rnacentral:rRNA from 1 species
CAGACGGGUGAGUAACAUGUAGGUAUCUGCCCUUUGGCCUGGAAUAACACGAGGAAACUUGUGCUAAUACCGGAUAAGUCUUCACGGAGAAAGCUUUAUGCACCAAUGGAUGAGCCUGCACUUGAUUAGUUUGUUGGUAGGGUAAUGGCCUACCAAGACUUUGAUCAAUAGCUGAUUUGAGAGGAUGAUCAGCCACAUUGGGACUGAGACACGGCCCAAACUCCUACGGGAGGCAGCAGUGGGGAAUCUUGCACAAUGGAGGAAACUCUGAUGCAGCGAUGCCGCGUGAGUGAAGAAGGCCCUUGGGUUGUAAAGCUCUUUCGUCGGGGAAGAAAAUGACUGUACCCGAAUAAGAAGGUCCGGCUAACUUCGUGCCAGCAGCCGCGGUAAUACGAAGGGACCUAGCGUAGUUCGGAAUUACUGGGCUUAAAGAGUUCGUAGGUGGUUGAAAAAGUUGGUGGUGAAAUCCCAGAGCUUAACUCUGGAACUGCCAUCAAAACUUUUCAGCUAGAGUUUGAUAGAGGUAAGCAGAAUUUCUAGUGUAGAGGUGAAAUUCGUAGAUAUUAGAAAGAAUACCAAUUGCGAAGGCAGCUUUCUGGAUCAAUACUGACACUGAGGAACGAAAGCAUGGGUAGCGAAGAGGAUUA